rfam:Brachypodium distachyon strain Bd21 chromosome 3, whole genome shotgun sequence.
CUGCUACUCCCUCCGUCCCAUAUUAAGUGAUUUCUAUUACAUGUAUCUAGACAUAUUUUAGUAUAUAGAUAUGUCCAUAUUUAGACAAAUUUGAGUCACUUAAUAUGGGAUGGAGGGAGUACAAA